rfam:Stegodyphus mimosarum contig92685, whole genome shotgun sequence.
GCCUUCGUGGUGUAAUCGUCAGCACACUGAGCCGGUAUUUCAGAGGUCCGUGGUUCGAUCCCCGGCGAAGGAA